rnacentral:rRNA from 1 species
GACAGAGGGUGCAAACGUUGUUCGGAAUUACUGGGCGUAAAGCGAGUGUAGGCGGUCUUGUAAGUCGGGUGUGAAAGCCCCGGGCUCAACCCGGGAAGUGCACUCGAAACUGCGAGGCUAGAGUAUCGGAGAGGUUGGUGGAAUUCUCGGUGUAGAGGUGAAAUUCGUAGAUAUCGAGAGGAACACCGGUGGCGAAGGCGGCCAACUGGACGAAUACUGACGCUGAGGAGCGAAAGCCAGGGGAGCAAACGGG